GGUAUCACUUCUUUUUGGUACAGACUAUCUGAAACAAUUUGUCAACCAUUACCUCAAGGCCCCCUUGUUACUAACAGUUUCUUGAGUUUUUUCAAUCUAUGUUACAYCUGUACCUGGGAAAUCAAAGCUCCACAAUAAAUCAACCAAGUCUGGAGCCUACAGAAGAUAUUCAGUGCUAGAAACUCAUAACCAAAAYGAUUUUAACCAAUACACAUUCACUUUGAUCCAUACAAUCCUUACUAGCUUCACAAAAAUAUAGUAUUCCUACACAUAUGGACAUGUUUAYACCCAUCUGUGUCUCUCCUGAGCAACCAAUCACGUUCAACAAGAUCUACACUYCACUGAGGUUUCAUUUACCCCCAAACACCCACUUGCACACCCAGCAUGAUUAAUUCAAGUUCGUAGACUUUGUUACCCAGGCUCACAGCAUUUCACAUAGAUAUACUUUAGCUGUUUCUUAUUGAUCCAACUCCACACCCAGACAGAUGAGGUACUGCCUUACCACUAACAAAUCACCCACUCAAACAUGUUUUCAUCAGCAUUAGCACUUUCUUUCUCCCACCUAUCCAGCCAUCCAUCUACCCACUAAUAUUUAUCCAUUACUACAUGCUUACUUACCUGAUUUUCUGUCCCUUUCCAUUGUAGAUAUUCUCCUCUGUCUUCACUGUCCUAAUUUCUCUGUGUCCUUGUUCCUUCUUAUGCUCCAUUCCCCAGCUGUCACCAUGAGCUACACCACUCCUCUUGUGGAGGCCAAUUACUCUUCAUCUUUUCUUUGCUGAUGUCUGCUUUGUUUCUGUCUGUCCUCUUCAGCAAAAACAAGCUUUAUUUUUAUUUCUCAUUGACUAGCAAUUCUCUUCCUCUGUUUUGUCCUCAUAGUCACACAAACACAGACCUUUCACCACAGCUAGACAGCUGCCGGUUSAGCUGCUAUGCAUUUACAGAAGGACCUAACCAAAUCUUUCCCUCCUUAUCUGGAAAGCGUAGAAAAUGUGCCAUUGCUGAUGGG
rnacentral:lncRNA from 1 species